rnacentral:rRNA from 1 species
AUUGAACGCUGGCGGCAGGCCUAACACAUGCAAGUCGAGCGGUAGAGAGGAGCUUGCUUCUCUUGAGAGCGGCGGACGGGUGAGUAAUGCCUAGGAAUCUGCCUAGUGGUGGGGGAUAACGUUCGGAAACGGACGCUAAUACCGCAUACGUCCUACGGGAGAAAGCGGGGGACCUUCGGGCCUCGCGCCAUUAGAUGAGCCUAGGUGGGAUUAGCUAGUUGGUGAGGUACCGGCUAACCAAGGGGACGAUCCGUAACUGGUCUGAGAGGCUGAUCAGUCACACUGGAACUGAGACACGGUCCAGACUCCUACGGGAGGCAGAAGUGGGGAAUAUUGGAGAAUGGGCGAAAGCCUGAUCCAGCCAUGCCGCGUGUGUGAAGAAGGUCUUCGGAUUGUAAAGCACUUUAAGUUGGGAGGAAGGGUAGUAACCUAAUACGUUGCUACUUUGACGUUACCGACAGAAUAAGCACCGGCUAACUCCGUGCCAGCAGCCGCCGUAAAAC